rnacentral:rRNA from 1 species
UACGGAGGAUGCAAGCGUUGUCCGGAAUUAUUGGGCGUAAAGAGCUCGUAGGCGGUUUGUCGCGUCCGCUGUGAAAAUCCAGGGCUUAACCCUGGACCUGCAGUGGGUACGGGCAGACUAGAGUGCGGUAGGGGAGAUCGGAAUUCCUGGUGUAGCGGUGAAAUGCGCAGAUAUCAGGAGGAACACCGGUGGCGAAGGCGGCUCUCUGGAACGCAACUGACGCUGAGACGCGAAAGCGUGGGGAGCAAACAGG